rnacentral:lncRNA from 1 species
CUCUGUGAUUGCGUCGGUUUGAACCCGCAGGACCACAGCCUCGACUAUGGCGCGAUCUCUGUCUGAACGCGCACAGAGGCGACGCACCGUCCUUAUAUCGCCUUGGUCCAGGGCGUCGCGUACGGUCAGAGCAACCAUAUGGUCGACGCGCGCGUCGACCUGAACUUGCGGUAUGCCGACGGGUGGUCGACGAUCCAAAAGCACGCGCUCCAGGUCAUCGCAACCCCGGUGAAUGACAAGAGGAGAGCGAGCGCCGUCAAAGCGAGUACCAAUCUCGCGCAAGCGCGCCUCAAACACAUUAUCAAGGUUGGUCGUGCGCAUGUCGUAGGCGAGCACGCGCUCUACAAAUGCAACGUGGCCCAUCAGCGCCGCGGCGGCGUACGCGCGCGCGAGUGCGGCGGCCGUAGUCUUGGGCCAUCGCAGUUGCAUAAAAGGCAACACACGGUCCAGAAUAUCAAACCGUCCGAAAUGCGACGCUGCAUCCAAGAGCCGAACGGCAUCGUCAGGCACGAGGUCUUGCCUGGCAGACGGCACCUGUUCAUACAUCCACAGCGCGUUAUCGAUAUCGUCCCUCGGCACCAACGGCAGCGUGUGACGACCCCGUGUGAUAUGGGCCAGCACCGCAAUGAGCCUCGCGUCGCCGACAAAAUCUUUCAAAAGGCCAAAGUGGCCUCUCUCCAGACAGUGGAUGACGGCGCGGCUGGUGGCAGUUGUUUGCGAACCGUCCAGUAUGCCCGUGAUGGCUUUUUCCACGAGUUUAGCGUCCGAACCCUGUGCGACUUCGUGCAGCCGCGUCCAGGCCGCCUCGCCAGGGGCAUCGGCGGCACCGGUCCAUGCCGCACGCACGACGCGCAUUGCGUCGCCUGGACGAUAGCCGCAGACGACCGCGAUCACCGUGUGCGUGAUCAGCCAUCUAGAGUCAUUGGAUCCCGCCGGCCGGUUGUCUUUGCGGCACAGCCACGCCACGGUGUUGUCUUUGUCCGACUGACCGAGCCGCAGGAUGAUGCGCAUCCAAUCGUCGCGAUCGAACGGCCAGACGUUGGCACUUUGAAGCGCCAGGCGACGCGCUAGGUCCGUGUGGCCACCAGUGGCGGCAAGUUCCACGCACUUGCGCCAAAACGACGGUUCGUCGCGCAAGGCAAAGAGGUCCGGCCGACCGAGUGCAUAGUCGACGCCCUCGACGUCGCCGGCGGCGCACAGGGAAAAGAACGUUGUCCAGCGGUACUUGCGCCUGUAGAUCGUACCACGAUCGAGCACAUGAAAGCGACGCCAGGCCAGCAGACACGCGCCCAGCGAUCGAUCGUCGAGAAAGCCGUCGACCAAGUAGACAAGGACGUCAUCUGGCAGGAUGUCGAUGGGCGGCGAUUGCUCGUGGUCGAGCAUGCUGCCGACACCAUCACCAUCGUCGUCGCAUCCUUGGUGCAUGUUGGGGGCAAGAAAAAAGCAAAAAAACAAUGAAAGAGCAGGGUGAAAAAAAGAGAGGGAUUUUUUGUUGGCGGCGCGAUUGGGCGGCCACAAAGGGCAAGGCAAGGGCGAUGCCGCAGAAAAAAACCAACAACAGCGGC